ACCGCUCGGCGCAGCUGAGGGCGGCGACCAGCGCUGCGAAUGACAGCCCCUCCGGCGCCGGCCCACCCCGCGCCGCGCGCGUGACCCCGCCUGUGCGCAGGCGCGCCCGUCGCCCGGCCGGUAGCUAGGGAGGCCCAGCGGUGAUCCCGAGGCCUGGUAGGCGUCGCAGCCCCGGCCCUCUAGGGGCCGACGGAGGCGUGCAGGGGAAGUUAGCUUGAGCCUGUCUCGGCAGCCGUGCACGAGAAAAAAAGGACCUUCGAGAAGAACAAGGGAGGGCAGGAGUCACCGAGUACAGGGACAUCUAUGUGGCCGCUCUGCUUUCCCGCCGUCACCUGCUGUUGACCUCCUGCCGCAUCGCGGUGUCCGGAGCCGCCUGGCCUGGAGUAUGCGCUGAGCGUCACCUAGGCAACCACCCCUGCACCUGUGGAUCAGGCUUGCACAGGAUCACAAAGAAAAAUCUGAAAUUCAAGGUCCGCUGGAGAAGAAAGAAAAUCAAAACGGCUACAAUUGGUGUUGUGUAUUAAAUAAAAUUAAAGGUACAAAGAAAGACCCAGUCAGUACUAACUACUACUGUCAAGAUCACAUUCCUCUCCCACUCCUGCACACUCCACUCUUCAAGAAGAUAAAUCCUCAACCAUCUGUUUUUCCUAGCUGGUCACACAGACAAAAUACCAAAUUGUUUUCUAGCUCCAAUACUGGAUGUUCCCACAGCUACAGCUGGGAGCUUGGAACAGCCACUGUCUUCCUGUGAGUAGAUUUGUGUGUUCCGGGCACCCUGUUACACCAUCCUCCCAAGUACUGGGUGGUUGGUUCAUGCUUCCGAGUUAAGUAAAACAUAAGGCUUAACAGGGUCACAGGGACCAGCCAUGUAAUGGCAAAUCUCUGCUAUUUUCAAGAAAUCAUGUACAGGAAAUGCUAUUAAGGUGUUACUAAAGAAGGUGAAUCAUUAAUAAAAACAAAGUAGAUCUGCUUUGCUUGCCUGAGGAGAAAAAUGUUUUUAAAGGAAUCCAUGUAUGAAUCAGCUAAUCCCUGCCCAAGCAAACAUUCAUAAUAAAAUAAUGAUAGUAAUAAUAAUAACUGUUAGCCAGCAUUUAACUGCCAACCAAGGAUUUUCAUGCAUAUCUUUUUAACCCCCACAACAAUCUUAUGUGGUCGGUAUUAUUACCCUCAUUUUAUAACUUGAGCUCAGACAGGUUCAUUAACUUGCUUAACAACUUUUCAGCCAACUUCUCAGACUGUAAAACUCUGAUCUGUGCUCCUAAUCACUUUAACCAAGAGCCCUCAACAGGGCUAACAACAUUCUUGUCUCCCAGGCAAAGCUGAGUCAGAACACAUGCACAUGGCCCUCAAGUAUAUAAUUUGAUAAAACUUUUCCCAUAGAUUUAGCCCAGGCCCAAGAAUUUUGGCAAAGAGUAGAGGUGAUUUCAAGACAAAGAAGUAGGCUGGGCUUAGUGGCUCACACCUGUAAUCCUAACACUUUGGGAAGCCGAGGCUGGGGGAUCUCUUGAGCUCAGGAGUUUGAGACCAGCCUGGGCAACAUGGCAAAAUCCCAUGUCUAUAAAAAAUAUAAAAAUUAGCCAGGUGGUGGUACAUGCCUGUAGUCCCAGCUACUCAGGAGGGUGACAUGGGAAAAUCACCUGAGCCUGGGAAGUUGAGGUUGAAGUGUCCAUGAUUGCACCACUGCACUCCAGCCUGGGCAUCAGAGUGAGCCCCUGUCUCAAAAAAAAAAAAGACAUAGCUAGUCAAGAACACAGUAAAUCCAGAGACCCACCAAUCCUGCCCCCUACUAGAAACAUAUAAGUAAUGUUCAGGCCAGGUACAGUGGCUCACACCUAUAGUCCUAGCACUGUGGGAGGCUGAGGUGGGUGGAUCACUUUGAGCCCAGGAGUUCAAGACCAGCCUGGUCAACAUGUUGAAACUCCAUCUCUCCAAAAAAAAAAAAAGUUAGUCGGGCCUGGUGGCUCAUGCCUGUAGUCUCAGCUACUUGGGAGGCUGAGGUUGGAGGAUUGCUUGAGCCUGGAAAACAGAGGUUGCAGUGAGCCCAGAUAGUACCACUGCACUCCAGCCUGGGCAAGAGAGUGAGACCCUGUUUUAAAAAUAAAUAAAUAAAUAAAUAAAUAAAUAAUGUUCGGUAGUCUCUUUUCACGCCUGCCUCACCCAAAUGGAAUUCAAAUAGUUUAUCCUCAU
ensembl:lncRNA